AUACUAACACUGUGAUCGAAGUGCAUACGGUUCCAAAGAUUAAAAUAAACAAUGUAUGUGUGUAUGCAUGAGUAUGUAUGAAUGUAAAGCAUACGUCCCUAUCGAAUGAGCACAGAAAAGUAUUCUGCUGCUGCGCUGCCGCUCCACGCACGGUAUUUAACAGUGAUCACAAUCAAUAACAUUUUCCGUGUUUUUUUAUUGGUUUUUGAAUGUUAACAGUUAACUUUCUACUUAGUAUUUCUGUUUCGCAACUGGACAGAAUGCAAUUCCAUUUUGUUGGUCUCAAGGACGUGGCACCGAAACUGCUGUUGCUGCUACCUUCUGGUCUCACUAAUAUGUAUGUUCCCCUGCAAGGUACGCCUGCUACCGUUCCUGCCACUUAAUUAAUUGAAAACGUAACUUGCAAAGUAAAGGCUCUAACGCUCCUAAUACUGCACAAAUCACUUCAAAUUGAAAACAACAUACAUAUGUACAUAGAAACACACUAACAUACACAAGCAUGCAUGUGGCUUUAUUAUGCGAUAAGUCGAGUGAGUGAAUG
rnacentral:lncRNA from 1 species